rnacentral:rRNA from 1 species
AACGAACGCUGGCAGCAUGCCUAACACAUGCAAGUCGAACGAGAUCUUCGGGUCUAGUGGCGCACGGGUGCGUAACGCGCGGGAAUCUGCCCUUUGGUUCGGAAUAACAGUUGGAAACGACUGCUAAUACCGGAUGAUGACGAAAGUCCAAAGAUUUAUCGCCAGAGGAUGAGCCCGCGUAGGAUUAGCUAGUUGGUGUGGUAAAGGCGCACCAAGGCGACGAUCCUUAGCUGGUCUGAGAGGAUGAUCAGCCACACUGGGACUGAGACACGGCCCAGACUCCUACGGGAGGCAGCAGUGGGGAAUAUUGGACAAUGGGCGAAAGCCUGAUCCAGCAAUGCCGCGUGAGCGAUGAAGGCCUUAGGGUUGUAAAGCUCUUUUACCCGGGAUGAUAAUGACAGUACCGGGAGAAUAAGCUCCGGCUAACUCCGUGCCAGCAGCCGCCGCAG